UACAGAGGUCUCAAGCGUUGUUCGGAUUCAUUGGGCGUAAAGGGUGCGUAGGCGGCGUGGUAAGUCAGAUGUGAAAUCCCGGGGCUCAACCCCGGAACUGCAUCCGAUACUGCCGUGCUUGAGGGUUGGAGAGGUAGCUGGAAUUAUCGGUGUAGCAGUGAAAUGCGUGGAUAUCGAUAGGAACACUCGUGGCGAAGGCGAGCUACUGGACAACAUCUGACGCUGAGGCUCGAAGGCUAGGGGAGCAAAAGGG
rnacentral:rRNA from 1 species